rnacentral:rRNA from 1 species
AUGCAGUCGAGCGAAGGGAGUACUACGGUACGAACUUAGCGGCGGACGGGUGAGUAACGCGUGGACAAUCUACCCUGUAGACUGGGAUAACACCUCGAAAGGGGUGCUAAUACCGGAUAAUGUCGAGAAGCGGCAUCGCUUUUCGAAGAAAGGAGGGAAUCCGCUAUAGGAGGAGUCCGCGUCCCAUUAGCUAGUUGGUGAGGGUAACGGCCCACCAAGGCGACGAUGGGUAGCCGGCCUGAGAGGGUGAACGGCCACACUGGAACUGAGACACGGUCCAGACUCCUACGGGAGGCAGCAGUGGGGAAUAUUGUGCAAUGGGGGAAACCCUGACACAGCGACGCCGCGUGAGUGAAGAAGGCCUUCGGGUCGUAAAGCUCAAUAGUAUGGGAAGAAAGAAAUGACGGUACCAUACGAAAGCCCCGGCUAACUACGUGCCAGCAGCCGCGGUAAUACGUAGGGGGCGAGCGUUGUCCGGAAUUACUGGGCGUAAAGAGCACGUAGGCGGCUAUAAAAGUCAGAUGUGAAAAACCUGGGCUCAACCGAGGGUAUGCAUCUGAAACUAAAUAGCUUGAGUCAAGGAGAGGAGA